AACCAACCGGGAUUGCCUCAGUAACGGCGAGUGAAGCGGCAAGAGCUCAAAUUUGAAAUCUGGCCCCUCCGGGGUCCGAGUUGUAUUUGUAGAGGAUGCUUCGGGUGCGGCCCCCGUCUAAGUGCCCUGGAACGGGCCAUCGGAGAGGGUGAGAAUCCCGUCUGGGACGGGGUGUCCGCGUCCAUGUGAACUCCUUCGACGAGUCGAGUUGUUUGGGGAAUGCAGCUCUAAAUGGGUGGUAAAUUUCAUCUAAAGCUAAAUACUGGCCGGAGACCGAUAGCGCACAAGUAGAGUGAUCGAAAGAUGAAAGCACUUUGAAAAGAGAGUUAAACAGCACGUGAAAUUGUUGAAAGGAGAAGCGCUUGCGACCUAGACUCGCUUCCGGGCGUUCAGCCGGCUUUCGGGCCGGUGUACUUCCCCGGGGGCGGGCCAGCGUCGGUUUGGGCGGCCGGUCAAAGGCCCCUGGUAAUGUAACGCCUCUCGGGGCGCCUAUAGCCAGGGGUGUCAUGCGGCCAGCCUGGACCGAGGAACGCGCUUCGGCACGGACGCUGGCAUAAUGGUCGUAAACGACC
rnacentral:rRNA from 1 species